rnacentral:rRNA from 1 species
AACGAACGCUGGCGGCAGGCCUAACACAUGCAAGUCGAGCGAACCCUUCGGGGUUAGCGGCGGACGGGUUAGUAACGCGUGGGAAUAUACCCUUUGGUACGGAAUAGCCUCGGGAAACUGAGAGUAAUACCGUGUGUGCCCUUCGGGGGAAAGAUUUAUCGCCAAAGGAUUAGCCCGCGUUGGAUUAGAUAGUUGGUGGGGUAAUGGCCUACCAAGUCUACGAUCCAUAGCUGGUUUGAGAGGAUGAUCAGCAACACUGGGACUGAGACACGGCCCAGACUCCUACGGGAGGCAGCAGUGGGGAAUCUUAGACAAUGGGCGCAAGCCUGAUCUAGCCAUGCCGCGUGGACGAUGAAGGCCUUAGGGUUGUAAAGUCCUUUCAGAUGGGAAGAUAAUGACGGUACCAUCAGAAGAAGCCCCGGCUAACUCCGUG